rnacentral:lncRNA from 1 species
ACUCUUGUACACCCCCUCAGACCUCCUUAAUGCCUUGCCAGCUGGAAGGAAAAGAGCCUCUUGCAUUGCCCACAAAGGAAGCAGAGAUUGAGGGGAGAAGAACUGGAGAAAUUAAAAAAGUGGAAAGAGACAGCAACACAAAUAAAGAGGUUGAGUACCAGUAGAAACCUCAUAUUUACCUGGAAGAUUACUUUUAGGAAGCUUGAAGAAUUCUCUCUUCCAACUUGGUUAAUCUGAGUUCUGUGGCACCUACAAGAGAAAUGGCUGCUUAUAUGUGACAACCUGCAGAUCUGAGCAGCAGGGGAACAAAGGCAGGGCCAACACAAUGGCACUGGUCCCGUUGAGUCCUGGGGAGUCCUCAGCUUUCAGGAGUCCCCUGAAUAUGGGGCAACCCCACAGGGAUUUCCUGUAAGAUUUUAAAUGAAGAAAGUCUUCUACUGCUGUAUAAAGAAAAAAAAAAGAAGAAGAAAGGGAUGGAUCUCACUAUGUUGCCAAGGCUGGCUCGAGAACUCCUGGGCUCAACCAAUCCUCCUGCCUCAGCCUCCCAAAUAGCUGGGACUACAGAAUGGACUUUUCAUCCAUGUGGCUGUGAUCAGUUCCUAAAGCAGAGGAAUCUGCAGCCUAAUGACACAUCAGGAAUUGAUGGAACCCCAGCAGACAGCUUCUAUGAGGUGUGUGGGUGGCGGAUGUGAAAUCAAUAAAAAAAAAAAAAAGAAUAAUUUUUUUUGUUGUUUUUGUUCACUGUCAUGUACAUUAAAGCAUGUAGGCCUCUUCCAGUGUAUAUGUGUAACUUUCACAGUAAAACCUGGAUGAAAAAUCAAUAGAAAUUUAGAAUCUUUCUUCAUAGGAACUGUAUGAUUACUUUGGCAGGAGGAAAAAUAAACAUGUGAAAACAACCUCAAGUCAAUAAAAUGUAUGAUCAGUAACAUAUGAUGAGUAUAUAAGUUAUAGCAUGGGUAAUGUUGAUUCUAGCUAAUUACCUUUGAAAUUGAGGCAGGGCAAAACCAAUUAUGAGCUAGAGUUCAUAAGUAACUCCAAGAACUCCAAGUUGAAAAUCUCAAGGAGAGAGGAUUGCACAUUGGUAGUCCUGUGGAAUAGAGAAGAGAGAAGUCAUUCCAGGCAGAGGAAUGACAGGCAGAGGGGAAUUUUGGGUAACUAGACUGGGCUCAUUCUAAGUGAGCAGCACAUGCAGUUACAAAGACAUCAACACUCUUGUGUCUCCUGCUGCAGAGGUCUUGAUGCUGUGAAUGAUGACUAAUAUAUCUUUGGGUCUCCGAAGUGACUGAUUUAAUUCUAUCAUUUUUGGAGGCAAGGCUUUAUUAUAAGCUACACGAAUAACUUCAAAAAAGGAUUAAAUUAACUGUGCAUUAUUUACUGCAAGUGCAUUUCUCUGGUAUAAAUCUGUCUUAUUUAUGCAUUAGGAUGAGAAAACAGUUUAUUGCCAUUAUAUAUUGUUUAGGGCUGAAGGUUACAAUCUGUCACAAUAUCUCUUCAAAUCCAAAUUCUGGC